CACUAGAAAUAAAUAUUAAAAUAAUUAGAAUCGAAAUGAGGUAUCAAGACCUCGGGGAUUUUAAACUGAGCCAUAAAUAUUUUUAUAAAUAUUUAUGGAGUGUUAAAAAGUUAGUAUUAAAGUUUCGUUAAGAAAUUUUAAAGUUCCGAUAAUUAAUUGAACAAAAAGGACUAAAUUGUAACAAAUGCAAAAUUUUGGGAAAUGAUUAAAUAGCUUAAAUGAUAAAAGGAAGAGGGCUUAAAAAGCAAAUAGACCCAAGGUCUAUUUGGGCUGGACCGCAGAGGCAUGAAAUCAGCAAGAAAGUAAGGAGAAUUAAGGGCAAAAUUGGAAAAUUGCAAAAUUUGCUUAAUAAAGUUAGGACCCAAGUGGAAUUAUCUAGAUUUCUCUUCAUUUUUCUGAAUUCUCAUCAGCUAAAACACCAUGGAAGGGCUUCUUCAAGCUGGUUCUUCAUAUUUUUAUUACAAGUAAGUUCAAUUCUUGACUAUUUCUUGAAAUUUUUGUAUUUUUAUGACUUUUACAACUAGGCCCACUUGUUAAAUUCAUUAGUUUUUGAUUUUAUGAAAGAAGUUGAAAGUUGAUAUGAAUAUGUGCUGGAAGUAUAUGAUGAUUUAGCAUGAAAUUAGAGCUUUAAAUUGUUCAUAUGCUGAUUUUAUUGAAAGAAUUGAAUAGAAAGUGAAUGUUUGGGACCUAAUAGUAAAAGAGUUUGAAGAUAGAGUUAUAUGUGGAAAUUCUGACAUUUCAAUAGUUGUGUAACAACUUAUAAUGUCUAGUAAAGUACUAAUUGAGAAAAUUAGAUUAAUUGAGGGGUUAAUUGAGAAAGGACCGAAUUGUAUAAACUGUGAAAUUUGGGGCAAAAUGGAAAUCAACAUUUUGCACUAAAGCAGUUUUGGACAGCAGCAGUAGUGUAACUUUGAAAAAUCACCAAAAAUUGUAGAGAUUGAAUUAGAGGAUGAAUAAAAUAUGAAAUUAAAUCUUAUUGAGUCUAGUUUCUUAUAAAAGAAAUGAUGUGAGCAAUGGAAUUGUAAAUCAUGAGAUAUAAUAGAUUUUGUGAGACAAGGUCAGAAUGAAUUCGGGUUCCCCUGUUCUGACUUUGGAAAAUCAUUAAAAAUUGUACAGAAAUUAUUAUGAGUUAUAGUUUAUAUGGUUAGAAUCCUUAAUGAGUCUAUUUUUAGAAGAAACAAGCUAAAACAUCAUCCGAAUUCUGUACAAUGAGAUAAUUAAUUUUUAGUGAAGAGUGGUCGGAACUGUCAGACAGCGAAACAGGGGAAACUUUAAAGAAUAAACUGUACUAUUUGGCUGAACCAAAAAUUAUGAAAAUUUUAUGGUAUGAAUAUAUGUGAGUCUAGUUUCAGGGAAAAUUAACGGAUCUUAAUUUGGAGCUCUGUAGCUCCGGAUAAAAAUAAUUUAGUGACUCUGACUCGGAUAAACAGCUUUGAAUAUACAUGUUAGUGAAUAUUGAAAUUAUGGUUAAUGUUGUUUAAGUGUGUUAUACACAUUAAGGAUGUGGAAUGGAGAGGAGGAGGAGGAAAAUUGGGAAAUAUAUGAAUGAUUCGUGUAUAAAUGGUCAUAUGUUUGAUUAUAACUCAUAAACGAUGAAAUAUGAAUGAUGCUUAUUUUUGUGCAUUAUUGGUCAUGGUUUAAGCUCAUGUGUGAAAAUAAAGUUUCAUAGUAUGUGUGUAUGGUAUAUUCAGUAUAUGAUUUGGCAUGAAAUAAUACCAUGAAUGGUUUAUGAAUUAACACAUGUUGGUAAGCCUGAUAUAUGAAUAAAUGAUCAAAUUGAGCGGAACGCCGGAUUUGAGUACUUCUGAUCAAGUGAUAAAGUGAUAAGUGGUAGCUUUAGCUACACUUAUCUGAUCAAGUGACAAGUGGAAAGUGAUAAGUAAUAGCUUCGGCUAUACUUAUCUGAUCAAGUGAUAAAGUGAUAAGUGAUAGCUUCGGCUAUACUUAUCUGAUCAAGUGACAAAGUGAUAAGUGAUAGCUUCAGCUACACUUAUCUGAUCAAGUGACAAGUGGAAAGUGAUAAGUGAUAGCUUCGGCUACACUUAUCUGAUCAAGUGACAAGUGAAAAGUGAUAAGUGAUAGCUUCGGCUAUACUUAUCUGAUCAAGAGACAAAGUGAUAAGUGAUAGCUUUAGCUACACUUAUCUGAUCAAGAGACAAAGUGAUAAGUGGCUACACUUAUCUGAUCAAGAAACAAAGUGAUAGGUGGCUACACUUAUCUGAUCAGGGACAAGUGAUAAGUGAUCAUACGUAAGACCAUAGUUAUACUAUGGCAAAGUGAAAGUGAAGUACUCAAUUUUCCGUGACCGUUCCCUAAUUUGAUUAAAGAUGGUAAGUGACAAAUGGGCCCAAAAGAAUUAAAGUAAAUGGAUAAGUGGUAGUGUAUUUAUAUCAGGACGAUGUUGUUAUUCAAACUAAAGUGAUAUUUUCAUUGCUAAAUUGAGAAUUUCAUAAAUGUGUUAUUGAAUGGUAUAAUCAAUAAACAUUGAGUUAAAUGGUAAAUACGUAUUAGUUUUGAAUUUGAUGUCAUUGAAUUGUACGUGAAUUAAAUGGAAAUUUCUAGUGAUAUGAUUUAAAUUAUGAGCAUGAGAAAUUGCGAAUUGAAUGAAAUGGAAAUGAAGCAUUAAAUUGCAUGAGUAUGUAUCGGGUCUCGCAGGCCCUAAUUAUUAUGAUUAUAAUAUUUUAAGGAUAUAUUGUGAAAAGUUAUAGAAACAUGUUAAUUAUUUUUGAAAGUUUUAAUUUUGAUGAAAUUUUAUAACUCGGUUAAAUACGUUUACAAGUGUAUGUGUUUUGGUAAUGCCUCGUACCCUAUUCCGGUGUUGGAUACGGGUAAGGGGUGUUACAGAAAAACACCUACCUUCGACCAAAGGUGAAGCCAGAAAAAAAAUUAAAGGAGUCAGAAUUAAGUUAUAUAUUUUGAUAAGAGUUAAAAUGCAACUUCACCAUUGUAUUAACUAAUAUCUUUAUAAUUUUUUGAAGGACUAUUGACCGGAAAUAGUUGCUAAGUAUCUAGUUAAGUGCUGGUAGGAGUGAUUAAGGAAGUUGGCACUUCUCCAAGCACUAUGAAAGAUGAAACAAAAAUAGGGGACACAAAGAUUAUUAACACAGUUCGGUUUCCCUACAACUGUAAAGCUUAACUCGGUGAGAAAUAUCUACUAUCUUCAAACAAUUGUAACAAGUGAACCUAAAUCUAUCACACUCGAGUGACAAUUUCGUCACUUUUGCACCUUUGAAGACUAGAACUCUCACCCCUAAAUUCGACACUACGAACUUAGCUUGUAAAAUCAUAGCACAAAUGUUUUACAAUCACAUGUGCUCUCACAAAUAAUGUUCUCACUUGAACAGAUUAAGUACUCUAAAAAAUCAGUACAUAAACCUAUACAAGUCUUUUAAUUAUAUAGAAUUUUUCAAAACUUGCUGACAUGAUGAAGAUCUAUCGCAAUCCUUAUUAAACAACAAAUAAACUAGCUAAAUGCAAUAUAAUAAUAACAGACAAAGUAAAUAAGGAUUGUUGGCAGCUAAGUUUUCAAUAUUCCAAUCCAACUUCCUUGAUCUAAGGGAUUAGAUAGAUGUUCUCCAAAUAUGUUUCCCUAAGUGAUAUAUCUUUAUUGAUGGACUAGAUACAAUCCAAAAUCUCAGCACAUUCCAAAGAUGUGGUUCAAUAAAUUGUCAAUCACAUAAAUAUGGAAACAAGUUAGUCUGUCGCAGUGUUUUAGGAAAUAGACACUUCCUCAAGCACAUCUUAUUCAUUCCUUAUUUUUCAACAAUCUCCCCUUUGAAAUUUAUAAAUAAUAAAUACAAUUUUACUAUUACUGAUUUAAAAUUUAUAAAUUAUAAAAAAAAUAAAAAAUAAUUUUCCAUUUUAGGAGAACUACAACCUCUACCAACUUCCCCACUUUGCCACUGCUCUAAAUAUUCAUAUACUCGACGGGAGAAGGAUCUUUGUUGCUUAUUUACAUUUCACAUCACAAGUUUACAAUCCUUGAUAAAUGGACCUAAUUUCUUUUUAAGUAAAUACAACACCAAUCUUAAUGUAUUUGACUAUUUUAUAAAGAAAAGGAAAAAGAAACAUUUACCAGUCAAACCAUCAUCGAAUUGGAAAAGAAAAAAAAGCCUUAGACAUGAUAAUUAGUAUUAUGUUUAUGCAUAUACAUUAAAAUUAAUUUAUUAUAUAUUUACAUAAAAUUAAUGCGUUAAGCAUUUUUUUAAAAAAGUAAUAAAUUAAUCAUUUUAAUAAAUUAAGUUUUGAUAUAAAUAUUUUUUUUAUCUUUUAUUAUAUUGUAGCAAGGUUUCGAAUCACAUAAUAUAAAAAUCAACGUGUGCACUAAAGCAAACCCACAUCAAAGUGAGAGUCCAUUUAUUGGUGAUUUAUUAAAAGAAGUAAACAUUCAAGUGGUCCCUUUGAUGCAGAUGGGUUUGCUUUACUUUUUUCCCUUUCCGACUAAAACUUUAAUUAGGAAAGGGAUUCCACCAAUAUCAAUAGCAUUGGUAUUAUAUUAAUCCAAUUUUUUUAUUGUUAAAAUCGUGAUUAAAUAUUACUUUAUAUUGUAUACAGCAUGAUUUAAGAUAAUUUUUUUAAAAAGUAAAAUAUUAUCAUUUAACUUUUAAAAAUAAAAAAAAAGUUAAAAAUAAAAUAUCUUUUAAUGGUUAAAUUCAUGAUUUUAUUAAUGAAAAGAUUUGGUUGGUAUAACUUUGAUAGUUUGGGAUAUAAUUAGAACGUUUUGAAGUUUGGGAACCAAUUCAAAAUAAGGUUUAUAAUUUGGUGAUGUUUGGUG
rnacentral:lncRNA from 1 species